GAAAAAUGAGCAAAUGACAUUUAAAUACAUAGCCAGUAACCAUAAAAAGGUGUUUAAUCUCUAACAAUCAGCAAAAUAAAAAUUAUAAUGAAAUUGAAAUAUUUUACUUGUUAUAUUGGUUUAUAAUAAGUAAAUAAUGUCAUCCUGACCUCUCCUUCGUAUUCACUCCAUCUUUGCAUGCUUUCUUUCCUAAAUAGAGCCUAAAUCUUUUUUAUUUUUCUUUUUACUUCCACUGUUAUUGUGCUUUAGUUCACUAAGUAUUAGAGAUGAUAUGGAAUAUAGGAAUUCUUUUUUUUUUCAAUUAUAGUUGAUUCACAAUAUUGUGCCAACUUCUGCUAUAUAGCAAAGUGACCUAGUCAUACAUAUAUAUACAUUCUCUUUCUUAUAUACCUUCCAUCGUGGUCUGUCCCAAGGAGACUUGAUAUAGUUCCCUGUGCUCUACAGUGGGAUUUCAUUGCUUAUCCAUUCUUUUUUUUUUUUCUUUUUGCUUUUUAAGCCUUCACUUGCAGCAUAUGUAGGUUCCCAGGCUAGGGUCAAACUGGAGCCACAGCCCCUGCCGGCCUACGCCACAGCCACAGCAACACAGGAUCCAUGCCACGUCCGCCACCUACAGCACAGGUCAUGGCAACACCGGAUCCUUAACCUACUGAUCGAGGCCAGGGAUCGAGCCCUCAACAUCAUGGUUACUAGUCAGAUUCGUUUCCGCUGCUGCACCACAAUGGGAACUCCCAUUGCUUACCCCUUCUAAAUGUAAUAGUUUGCAUCUACUAAUCUCAAAUUCCCAGUCCCCUCCCCUUGGCAACCACAAGUCUGUCCUCUAUGUCUGUGAGUCUAGUUCUGUUUUAUAGUUUCAUUCGUGUUAUAUUUUGGAUUCCACAUAUAAGUGAUAUUAUGUGGUAUAUGUCUUUCUGACUUCCUUCACUUAGUAUGAGAAGUUCUGAUUGCAUCCAUGUUGCCAUAAAUGGCAUAUUUUUGUUCUUUUUUAGGCUGAAUGUGUGUGUGUGUAUAUAUAUGGACAUGUUCGUUGAUGGACAUGUUCGUUGUUGAUGGACAUGUUCGUUGUUUCUAUGUCUUGGCUAUUGUGAAUAGUGCUGCUAUGAACAUAUAGGUGCAUGUAUCUUUCAGUUUAUGUGUCUUUUACCCUAAGGUGAGUCUCUUGUAGACAUCACGUUGUAGGCUAUUUUUUUAUUUUUAAAAUUUUUAUUUUUUAAUUAACUAAUUAAUUAAUUUAGGUUUUUUGGGCCAUACCCGCAGCAUAUGGAGGUUCCCAGUCUAGGGGUGGAAUCACAGCUACAGCUGCCUGGCCUAUGCCACAGCCACAGCAAUGUGGGAUCCAAGCUGCAUCUGCAAACUAUAUCACAGCUCAUGGCAAUGCUGGAUCCUUAACUCACUGAAUGAUGCCAAGGAUCAAACCACAUCCUCAUGGAUACUAGACUUGGUUUCCUCUGAGCCACAUGGGAACUCCAUUUUUUUUUUAUUCCAAUCUGCCACUCUAUGUGUUUUGAUUGUAGCAUUCAGUCCAUUGACAUUUAAGGUAAUUAUUGAUAAAUAUGUAUUCUUUGCUGUUUUAAACCUUGUUUUCCAUUUGAGUCUAUGUUUCUCCCCUGUUCCUUCCUUUUUCUUUAUUUGGUUGGAUGAUUUCCUUUUAUGCUUUGUGCGUUUCUUUUUGGUUUUUGUGAAUGUAUUGUUUGGUUUUGAUUUGUGUUUGCCCCAUUUUUCAAGUAUGUUAAUACCUUUCUAUAUCUGCUUGCUUAUCCUGAUUGUCAUAUAGGCUCAAAUACAUUCUUAAAAAAAAAAAGUCUAGAUUUUCUUAUUCUCCUUCCCCAUAUUUUAUGAUUUUGAUAUUCUUUUUUUUUCAUAUUUAUGUUGAUCCUUUUGCUAUUCCUUGUAUUUAUCAUUACUUUCACAAAUAGAUUUGUUUUACUUUUUGAUCUGAAAACUGGCUUAUUUAAGUGAUCAUUUUCUAAUUGUGAUUUCUUCCAUCCUGUUACUUCUUAUCUCUUUCCUAUUUAGAGGAGAGUUUUCAGUAUUUCUUUUAGAAAGAGUUUAGUAUUGCUGUAUUCUUUUGGUUUUUAUUUGAGAAAUUCCUUAUUUCUCAUAUUUUAAAUGAUAAUCUUGCUGGGUAGAGUAUUCUAGGCUGCAAAAUUUUCCCUUUUAGAACUUCGAAUGUAUCUUGCCACUCUUUUCUGGCCUGUAGUGUUUCUGUAGAACUUUUUUUUUUUUUUAAUUAGAGUACAGUUGAUUUACAGUGUUGUGUCAACUUCUGCUGUAUAGCAAAGUGACUCAGUCAUACAUGUAUAUUCAUUUUUUUACUCAUAUUGUCUUCCAUCAUGUUCUAUCACAAGUGAUUGGAUAUAGUUCCUUCUGCUGUAGAGCAGGACCUCACUGCUUAUCCAUUUUAAAUGUAAUAGUUUGCAUCUACUAACCCCAAACUCUCAGUCAUUCCCAUUGCUUCUCUCCUUGGCAACCACAAGUUUGUUCUCCACAUCCAUGAGUUUGUUUGUUUGUUUGUUUUUUUCUGUAGAUAGAUUCAUUUGUGCCAUAUAUUAGAUUCAAGAUAUUAGCAAUAUCAUAUGGUAUUUGUCUUUCUCUUUCUGACUUACUUCACUUAGUAUGCGAGUCUCUAGUUCCAUCCAUGUUGUUGCAAAUGACAUUAUUUUGUUCUUUCUUAUGGCUGAGUAGUAUUCCAUUGUGUAUAUAUACCACUGCGUGGCUCUCUUUCUGCAUUGUUCUCCUCAGACCAGCUGCUCUGCUUUUCUGCAAGGCUUUCAAUCUACCCCUCUCUACCCCAGGUAUCUCCCUGUCAGUUAGGUGGUCUCCCAAUGUGCUGAUUCCUUUCCUCUUACACAACUUCCUUCCCAGAGUGCUGAUCCUAUCCUGAUAUCUUUUUUUUCUCUUCCCUUCUCCCCCCUACCCCCACUCACCUUUUGUUCUACCCAGUUAUGUGGAGGAUUUCUUGCCCUUUUUGGAAGUUUGAGGUCUUCUGUAAGCAUUCGGUAGCUGUUCUAUGUGAAUUGUUCUGUAGAUGGGUUUUUUUGAGGUGUUUGUGGGAGAAGGUGAGCACCACAUCCUAUUCCUCUGCCAUCUCGAUCCCACUCUCAGAAUUCUUAUAUAAAUGACCUUGGAAGUGUAAAUUAACAAACUUCUUUGGAAAGCAAGUUGGGGAGUUUCUGUCAUGGUUCAGCAGAAACAAAUCUGUCUAGCAUCCAUGAGUAGGCAGGUUUGAUCCAUGGCCUUGCUCAGUGGGUUCAGUAUCCCAUGUUGCCAUGAGCUGUAGUAUAGGUCACAGAUGUGACUCAGAUCUUAUGUUUCUGUGGCUUGUGGUGUAGGCCAGCAGCUAUAGCUCCGAUUCCACCCUUUGCCUGGGAACCUCCGUAUACCAUGGGUGCAGNAAAAAAAAAAAAAAAAAAAAAAAAAAGAAAAAAGUCAAGAUUAUCUUGAAGAUAUGAACAUGGAAAUACCCUAUAACCAAAUAAUUCAUACUUAAUAUAUACCCAGAAGAAUUUUUGUAAUGUGCCCAGAAUACUGGCUCCUGGCAAAUUAUUCAUGAUAGCCAAGAGCUAGAAUUUUAAAAAUCCUUUGUCAAGAGAAUUGAUAUAUAAAUUGUACUACAUUUACACAAUGGAAUGUUUGGUAUACAGCAGUGAAAAUGAAUAAGCUCCAGCUGUACUCUGUCAUGUAAGAAUCUUAGAUAUCUAGUGUUGAGUAAAAGAGAAGUUCUAAAAGAUCCUAACCAGCGUGACACCAUUAAAAUAAUGCUGAAACACACAAAUUAAGCAACAUUUUUAGACAUUAAAAUUUAAUAAAGCUGUUUGUAAAAAGCAAAGACAAACACAAAAUGCAGAAUAGUGCUUUAUUUCUGGUUUAUUAGAAGAGAAAUACACAGAUGCAAAUUAUUCAUAAUGGUGUUCAUUGGACAGUAGUUUUGACAGCAUUGUAUAUGUUCUUAAACUUUACAACAUAAAUAUAUACUAAUAAAUUAUAUGUCAUACAUGUAUUUGUUUUAUUUAUUUUUAUUUUUUGUCUUUUUUUGUCUUUUGAGGGCUGCACCCUCGGCAUAUGCAGGUUCCCAGGCUAGGGGUCUAAUCAGAGCUGAUGCCACUGGCCUACGCCAGAGCCACAGCAACAUCAGAUCUGAGCCGCAUCUGUGACCUACACCACAGCUCAUGGCAAUGCCAGAUCCUUAACCGACUGAACGAGGCCAGGGAUUGAACCUGAAACCUCAUGGUUCCUAGUCAGAUUUGUUUCUGGUGCGCCACAACAGGAACUCCUUGCUAAAAAUACCUUUUUUACCUAAGUGCCAGAAUGACUUACCAACCACCAAAACAAAAAGCAGUGUAUUGAAGCAAAUAAAUCAGAAAAAAAAAAAUCUGAUUUACUAAACUGGAGGAAAUGUAACAUUCAUUGAAAAGCACCUGAGGAUUUUCUGUGCUAACAUCCAGCAGGGGAAAUAAACCUGUGAAAAUGACAAAGUAGAGUCAGGAUCAAUUAUUAUAGGGUUUUGGAUUUCUUUAGAAAUCUUAGUAUGGUUCACUGUUGGAGGUAGUGGCGAAAACAGCAAAAUGAAAUAAAAGAGGAAAUUGUUCAAUUGUCUUUUUUAAUCCUUCACUUUGUCCCUAUUCCUUUUUGGACAAGUUUCCAGCGUCUUUGCUGUACACAUGGGCCCUUCCUUUUAGGGUCUCUGAUUUCUCUGCCUGCCCACGCUCACUUCCUGUCACAUUCCUGGCCUCCACCUGCUCACAGCCUUCUCAGAAAGCAAACUCAGCUUCCUGUGGAUCCCUGAAUAGGUCCAUGCUUCUGUGCCUUUGCCAGUUCUGUUUGUUCUUCCUGGAGAUUCCCAUCUUUUCCACCUUUCCCGGUGACCUCUCACUAGGAUGUCUCUCCUGAACCUUUAAUGUAAAGGCUCUCAGAGUCCCUUAUUGAAUAAUGUUCUCAUGGUUGUUAAUCACAUUCCAUAGAAGUUAAUUUUUCUAUCUUCCCUAUUAGACUUUAAGCUCUUUGGGAUCAAAUGUUAUAACUUUAAAAAAAUUACACAAGUGCUUUCCAGUGCUUAUCAUAGGUGAUUGUCAUUAGUGUUGACUGAAUCAGUUGAGUGUUGACUGAAUGAGUCAUUAGUGUUGACUGAAUUUGGGGAAAGUACUAUUUUGAGCUCAAACUCCUUCACUGCCUUAACCUUUCCUCUACCUUCUUCCUUAGGGCUGGAGUGCUCCUUCCACUCGCCUCACCUAGUUAAUUCUUUAUUUACUUCCUCAAGAACCUUCUUUGCUAUCUGGGUAGAUGAUUUUCUUCCAUAUGUGGUCUUGUGUAGCACUAUUAUCAGUUGUGCAUUUAUGUCCAUUUGUAUCAUUCCUUGAAUAAUGUUUGCUUCUCCAAUUAGACUGUAAGCUUCAUGAACAGGGGCUAGGUCUGCUUUUAUUCUUUAUUGCACUUCCACCAUAUGGCUUAGGGGUAGACUCUCAAUAAAUAUUUGCUGGUCGACUGACUAAGUGAAUGAACCCCAGAUACUUCCAGAAUUCAGGACACAAGAAUGGACUGGUCGAGGGUUCAUAGCCCAGCUUUUUUCUGAGUGCAUGUAUGAGGGUGACAUUGCCUGUUCAGAGAAGGUUUUCACGGCCACCUGCAGGAGAGGUGAAAAUGGGGACCACAGUAUGGUGCUUGUUUCAGUUACUGCUCUCCCUUCCUGGCCCAUGGGCUUGGGUCCGAGUCUCAGGGAGAGAAGGUUUACAGGCACAGGGUGAAGAGCUUCUUUCCAAAAGAGAAACUCAGAUGUAUCAGAUAUACUGCUUUGUGCCUGGUUGUCAUAGUCACACAAGUUGGGAAAAAGCAGGGAAUUCUCCUGCUCCCACAGAAUCCAGUUUGCUGCUUUGUGUGCAGGAUGACUGAAUGAGGAUGAACUUGAGUAGUCUCUCUUUGACUUUAGGUGUAGUGCAAACAGCCUGGCACUGCUCUCAGGUAGUUUUGGGGGGCAGGCAUCAAACACAGAGAGGAACUCUGAGAAAAAAAAAAACCACGUGCACGCCCAUGAGACAGUCUGUGGCAGAAAUAACUAAGAUUCUGGAACCCUAUGAACCCUGUCUUGUGCAAAGGGAGUAUAUAGCAGUGGAACUGGAAGCUUUUAAAAUUUUUUUAUUUUGGUCCCUUUAUAUCCAUAGGUUGCUGAGGUCUGUGAAAGUCAGGAUGUGUCAUCGUAGUUCUUUGUGUUUCAAGUUAAGAACUUGCUUCUGAAGUACUUGAAAUUUUACCAUAGGUAUAAUCUCUAGCCUCAUUUUUUUUGGCUGCACCUGCAGCAUGAGGAAGUUCUUGGGCCAGGGAUCAAACAGCUGUGACCCAAGACACUGCAUUGACAACACUGGAUCCUUAACCUGCUGCACCACAGGAGAACUCCUCUAGUGUUAAUUUUUAGUGAUAUGUUUUACUGGCAAAUUUACAUAGUUUAUAGUUUCACGUAUAAAAAGGGCCCUUUAGUUUGACCAUCUGGAAAUAGUACAGAUUAUUAAUGUUAAUUAUUUCUCUUCAAUAUUCUAUUUUUGUGAUCUCAGUUUUCAGCCUUUGGUGAUACAUAUGACCAUCAUUAAUAUUUCAUGUUACAUGAGAUGGCCUCUAGGUCUUCAUUAAGUGAGCUUGUGUUGCCAAAUGAAUAUGUUAAUGUAAAAGAACAAAGGCAUUUUUUGCCUCAAACUUUUUAUCUUAACUUGAUAAUAUUUUCUAUAUUUUCUUCACAUUCAACCUACUUUUAUUCUUAAGCCAUUACUCUGGAAGCUAUCCUUAUUAUCUGUAAGAAAAUUGACAUCUGUGGACUUUCUUUUAUACGAUAACUUAAAUUCAGGUUUCAGCAACAAUUCCUAGAUCCUUUAAACAAAGGUAUUUUACUAGACGCAGGAGAGGCAACCCGAACAGGUGGGAAGGUACCACCCUGCAGGUAAUGAAAGCUUGGAUCUGUUUCUGGAUAUUCCACUGGCUCCCUGGGCCUCGCAUACAGUGAAGGUAAUGAACAGAACAUUAGUAAGCAAGACCAGUACUCAGUUGUAGUGGGUAGGUGGGGGCAGACAUUGCUAUAACAACAUGCACACACAGACACACACAGAUGUGCAUGUGAAGUGUAGGAAAGGCUUGAUGCAUAUCAGGUGGUGAAGGAGGCUGUGUCCCAGACCUUGAGAAUUUCUUCAGGGCUAAGUAGUUUAAGGAAGACUUUUUUUUUUUUUUAACUUUUUUCCCUUUCCUUCUCUCCCUCCCUCUUUUCCUCCUUUCCUUCCUUUGCCUUCUUUCCUUCCUCCCUUCCUUUCUUCUUUUUUUCCUUCCUUUUCUUUUUUUCUUAAGGUAUAGUUGAUUUACAGUGUUGUGCCAAUUUCUUGUGUAGCCAAGUGACCCAGUUUUAUAUAUAUAUAUAUAUAUAUACACACACACACACUUAUACAUAGAUAUAUAUUCUAUUUCUCAUAUUACCUUCCAUCAUGUUCUAGUCCAAGAGAUUGGACAUAGUUUCCUUUGCUAUAUAGUAGGACCUUCCUGCUCAUCCAUUCUACAUAUAAUGGUUGUUACCUUCUCAUCAAAUUUCUACCUACAGAAAAAAUAGCUUGUUCAGCCUAAUUCUUCACA
rnacentral:lncRNA from 1 species